rnacentral:lncRNA from 1 species
UGAAGGCAGAGAGGUCAGCAGGCUCGGGGGCCUCUGCUCCAGCGGACAACAAGCGCACCGGGCGGGAACGGCCGCCUCCCCAGGCGCUGCAGCCUAGCUCUCAUGUGACCCACGGAACUUAGCCCCUCUGUUCUGUUUGCAUACCUGCAAAUUGUGGGCAUUCACGCCGGGACUGCCAACUCACCAGGUUAUUUAUAGUGACAAGAGAGUGAGACAGUGGGCUUGAAAGUGUUUUCCAGACCAAGGCUCUGUCCCACAUAUAGGUGGAUUAACUGGCAAAGGCAGGAAUCCAUUGAAGGGGCCAUCUCCACAUUCAGAACCAAGGUCUCUUCUUCGGCCUCUCUGACAUGGUGCCAGCCCUGCUGGAGUCAGCAGGAAUCCAGCACAACAGAUGGUGGUCAGUGGUGACUUCAGCACAGGCAGUUCGUGGGGAGUGGUUGGUGGCCAUGGAGUCCUGACUGGAGUAGGUUAAAAAGAAGGAGGAAAAUCACAAGAAAGAGAGACUGGAGGCAGCCACCUCUCAACAACCCAUGAAGUGUCUGGAGCUCCACCCUCUGCUCAAGAGGAACGGCACAUGACCCAGGCCUAUGCCAAUCAGCAUUUCACAUUCCUCAUGAUUGGUUCAAAGCUCCCACAGGCCCAUUCUGGUGACUCAUGACUUGUAUACACAGAACAACAGAAAAAAGAAAAAUAGAAUUAGAUAAACAAGCAGGGGCAACAGUGAGGGCUAUGUCUUACAAAGAACCAUUUUUAAUUGAAUUCAUUUUCUCUCUUGAAAUUCUUUUUUUUUCCCUCAAAAGUGGGAAAAAAUUCUCAAAUAACAACAGCAAACCAAGAAAGCAGCUUAGUCUGCACUGCAUUUGCAUUUCUUAGUUUCAUUCCCUAUUCAAAAAUGUCUUAGGCAAAUGUGUGGGAAUGAACAUGCACUUUAAAAUUAUGGGACCUAGUAGAUUUAAUGGAAUGAGCCCUGGAUUGGGAGCCAGGGGACCUGGCUUUGAAUGGUCCCAACCCAGGCACUUAUUUACCUUAGUUUCUUCACUUAUAAAAUUAAACACACCAUCUACUGAUGAAUGGAUAAACAAAAUAUGAUAUCCACAGAAGGGAAUCUUGUUCAGCCGUGAGAAGGAAUGAAGUAUGGACAUGUGCUAUAAUGUGGAUGUGCCUUAAAGACAUUAUGCUAAGUGAAAGAAGCCAGACACAAAGACCAUACAUUUCACGAUUCCACUUACGUGAAAUGUACAGAAUAGCUAAAUCUAAGGACAUAAAGUAGGUUAGCUAAUGGGUACAGGUUUCUUUCUGGGUUGAUGAAAUGUUCCAAAAUUGAUUGUGCUGAUGGUUGUAUUUAAAACUCUGCAUAUACCGAAAACCAUUUAAUUGUACAUUUUAAAUGAGUGAAUUGUAUGCUAUGUGAAUUAUAUCUCAAUAAAGUUGUUCAAAAA